UACGGGGGGAGCAAGCGUUGUUCGGAUUUACUGGGCGUAAAGGGCGCGUAGGCGGUCGUGACAAGUCACUUGUGAAAUCUCCGGGCUUAACUCGGAGCGGCCAAGUGAUACUGUCGAUGCUAGAGUGCAGGGAAGGGGACUACGUAGGUAAUUCGUCGGUGUAGCGGUGAAAAUGCGUAGAUAUCGAGAGGAAACACCUGCGGCGAAGGCGGGUAGCUGGGCCGACACUGACGCUGAGGCGCGAAAGCUAGGGGAGCGAAACGGG
rnacentral:rRNA from 1 species